GGCCUCGUAGCUCAGCUGGUAGAGCAUGCGCGUACAAAGCGUAGGCGGUAUCCAUGCGUGGGUUCGAAUCCCACCGAGGCUA
rfam:Echinostoma caproni strain Egypt genome assembly, scaffold: ECPE_scaffold0015741